GAUGAACGCUGGCGGCGUGCCUAAUACAUGCAAGUCGAGCGAACAGACGAGGCGCUUGCUCCUUCGACGUUAGCGGCGGACGGGUGAGUAACACGUAGGUAACCUACCUAUAAGACUGGGAUAACUUCGGGAAACCGGAGCUAAUACCGGAUAAUAUUUCGAACCGCAUGGUUCGAUAGUGAAAGAUGGCUUUGCUAUCACUUAUAGAUGGACCUGCGCCGUAUUAGCUAGUUGGUAAGGUAACGGCUUACCAAGGCAACGAUACGUAGCCGACCUGAGAGGGUGAUCGGCCACACUGGAACUGAGACACGGUCCAGACUCCUACGGGAGGCAGCAGUAGGGAAUCUUCCGCAAUGGGCGAAAGCCUGACGGAGCAACGCCGCGUGAGUGAUGAAGGUCUUCGGAUCGUAAAACUCCGUUAUUAGGGAAGAACAAACGUGUAAGUAACUGUGCACGUCUUGACGGUACCUAAUCAGAAAGCCACGGCUAACUACGUG
rnacentral:rRNA from 1 species